AAAGCUAUACUGUCUCCUUUGUCCAAUCAGUUAAACUAAUCUCCCCGUGAAGAAGCGGGGAUAUACCUAUAAGACGAGAAGACCCUGUGGAGCUUUAAACACCUUAAAACAUUUGUCAUUCUACUUCACAACUUCCAGAAAACUUUACUAAACCCAACACUCUGUUUUAGGUUUUAGGUUGGGGUGACCACGGAGUAAAACUUAACCUCCACGUAGAAAGAAACUCCCUUUCUAAGCAAAAAGCUACAUCUUUAUGCAUCAAAAUAUUGACUUAAAUUGACCCAAUUAUUUGAUCAACGAACCAAGUUACCCUAGGGAUAACAGCGCAAUCCGCUUUAAGAGCUCCUAUCGACAAGCGGGCUUACGACCUCGAUGUUGGAUCAGGGCAUCCCAGUGGUGCAGAAGCUACUAAUGGUUCGUUUGUUCAACGAUUAAAGCCCUACGUGAUCUGAG
rnacentral:rRNA from 1 species